CAGGCAGACAUCUGCAGUUGCUGGCCUCCAGGUGCUUGAGAGUCCUGGUACUUCAAGACACUCCCUCUAAGGAAGGGAAAGAAGUGAACCUCCAGGAAGUCUGCAGGUAUAAAGAGAGGAGCCCUUGACACUUCAUCUUGCCUUGCAUGUGAAUGUGACGCCUGAAACUGUGUCGACUUUAUGCAAACAUGGAGUUGUAAGCAUGAGAAGAAAGCAAGCAUGUGAGGAUGAUGAAAGAUAAAGGGAGAAAUCACCUGGAUCCUUCAUGGCUUGGCAGAGCUACUGACCCAACGCCAGCAAACACCUAACUCAAGAUUUCUUGUAAUGAGAGGCAAAAAUAGCACCUAUUGUUUAAUCUACUGUUAAUCAGAUUUUGUUUUUGUUGUUGUCGCUUGCCCCCAAAAUACAUCCAUCAGAUAUGGCA